UACGGAGGGGGCUAGCGUUGUUCGGAAUUACUGGGCGUAAAGCGCGCGUAGGCGGACCUGCAAGUCGGGGGUGAAAGCCCGAGGCUCAACCUCGGAACUGCCUUCGAUACUGCGGGUCUCGAGUCCGGGAGAGGUGAGUGGAAUUCCUAGUGUAGAGGUGAAAUUCGUAGAUAUUAGGAAGAACACCAGUGGCGAAGGCGGCUCACUGGCCCGGUACUGACGCUGAGGCGCGAAAAGCGUGGGGGAGCAAACAGGG
rnacentral:rRNA from 1 species